rnacentral:rRNA from 1 species
AGAGUUUGAUCCUGGCUCAGGAUGAACGCUAGCGGCAGGCUUAAUACAUGCAAGUCGUGGGGCAGCGCAGUGUAGCAAUACAUGGGCGGCGACCGGCAAACGGGUGCGGAACACGUACGCAACCUUCCUUCAAAUGGGGGAUAGCCCGGGGAAACCCGGAUUAAUACCCCGUAAUAUUGCGGUGAGGCAUCUCAUUACAUUUAUAGCUCCGGCGUUUGAAGAUGGGCGUGCGCCUGAUUAGGUAGUUGGCGGGGUAACGGCCCACCAAGCCUACGAUCAGUAACUGGUGUGAGAGCACGACCAGUCACACGGGCACUGAGACACGGGCCCGACUCCUACGGGAGGCAGCAGUAAGGAAUAUUGGGCAAUGGACGCAAGUCUGACCCAGCCAUGCCGCGUGGAGGAUGAAGGUCCUCUGGAUUGUAAACUUCUUUUAUUUGGGAAGAAACCCGGAUUUUCUAAUUCGGUUGACGGUACCAGAUGAAUAAGCACCGGCUAACUCCGUGCCAGCAGCCGCGGUAAUACGGAGGGUGCAAGCGUUAUCCGGAUUCACUGGGUUUAAAGGGUGCGUAGGCGGGCAGGUAAGUCAGUGGUGAAAUCUCCGGGCUUAACCCGGAAACUGCCGUUGAUACUAUCUGUCUUGAAUAUCGUGGAGGUAAGCGGAAUAUGUCAUGUAGC